rnacentral:lncRNA from 1 species
GUACCCGAAGUUAGGAGCCUAACUGCUGGAAUGUUGUGUUCAUUCGCGACACGUUCAGCCCAUUGCUGCAAUAUGUCAUAAAUCACCAAAUCAGGUUUCAGAUUUUGCAAGAUUUUUGAAAAGUUUGGUUUGGACAUUUUCAGGGCUUUUUGAAGGGUGUUAUGGAGAUGGAGUGGGAGAUCAUUGGUCGUAUGGUAAUGAGGAGGAAGUUCGAGUAAUUCUGGUAAGUGAAGUUCGACAAGCUGAAUCGAAUCAGCAUACUUUUCGGGGAUUUUCUUACUGGCUUGAGAUUGAUGGGCGUAGAACAGAGGUAAAUCAAGAAUUCCCUAUCCGCGAGUUUCUUGUCUACGUUUAGAAAUGGAGAGAUGUGUCCAUAAGCCAAAAAUGGGAACAUUAGUACCCUCAAAGUACCAAGAGGCUCUGUAACUUGUUUAGCCAUGAUCAAAAUCUUGAAAUGGUAUACUAAAUUCUUGAAAUGAAAGAAGGGUGAGAAAUGAGAGAUGGUUUCUCUAUGGAGUUGACUUGCUUAAUUAUUAAAGAGAAAAGACUCAAAUAUGUAUCGAACUCCGAGAAAAUGCCCAUUUAUGGCAUUGUUAAAAGUUUGUCUCAACUACAUCAUUUUCGUUUGAGAAAAGACUCAUACAUGUCAUUAUUUGUUCACUUAGAUGACAUAGAUGAGCAAAGUUUUUAACGAAUGACAUAAAUGGAUCAUUUUCUCAAAGUUCGAUGACAUAUUUGAGUCAUUUCCCUUUUAAAAAUGAUUUAAUUAAUGACGUAAACGAAUCAUAACAAAUCACGUAUACGGAAUAAAUUUGCAACAUCUAAUUUAUAUUCAGUUAACAAAUAAUGGCAUAGAUGAAUUUCAUCUCAAAUGAAAAUAACAUAAAUGAAUCAAACUUAUAAUCAAUUGCACAAACUGACCUAUUUUUUCUUAAAGUUCGAUGACAUAUUUGAAAUUUUUUCCUUUACAAUUAAAAACAUAAGAUAGAUGAGGACAAAAGGGAAAUCUACACAAAUGUACGUUAAAACUUUUACAUUAAAAGCUCAUCGAAAAACACACAUUAGUCAAUUUCCCAAAAAGUUAUGACAACAAUGUAUGUGAAAAAUACGAAAACCUAUGACUUUUUAUAAAUGAUCACAUUACUCCAUCCGUCCAACAAAAACUAUAAAUAAAAGAAUAAUUUUACUAUAUUAUCUUCUGAAUAUAAUAAAUAUAAUAUCUUAAAAAAUAUAAUAAGAAAAUGAUCAUAAUUAAUGAUAAAUGUAAAUUAAGAACUAAGCGUAAAAAUUAUCCAUUAAUUUCAUAAAGUGAACAAGUACUGUUGGACAUCUCAAAAUAGUAUAGUGUACAAUUAUUGUUUGACAGAGGGAGUAGUUUUUUAAAAUUUUGUUUCCUCCAUCCAACAAUAAUUGUCCACUAUACUAUUUUGGUAUGUCAUCGAAAAAUACACAUUAUAUGGUUAUUAUAUUCAUGUUUUAGUUUGACUAAAAAUAAUAAGAUAGAAGGAUGGUCGUCUUGUCGAAGUGGAUAUAAAAAGGAGCUCAUAAGAUUGUGCAUUAAUUUUAUAUUUUGUUCCUUAUUUUUUCUAUAAUUAAAGUCACAACUCAUAACAAUGAUAUCAUAUUAUUGACAUAAUAUAUAAAUGUGACCCUUAACUUGGCUUCAGUUGAUAACUAUGACCUUUAACUUUGAGUGUGCAUAAGUAGACACUUAAACUUGUAUAAAAUUGAACAAAUAGACACAUUUGUAUGGCGUCCUACAUGGCAAUUUUGUGUCCUAUGUGGCAUUCUAUGUGUAUUAUUAUGUCACGUAAGACAUGUGUGUCUACUUGUUCAAUUUUAUAUAAGUUUAAGUGUCUAUUUGUGCACACUCAAAGUAGGACGGCAUAGAUGUCAGUUCAAACCAAACUAAAGGGCAUAUUUAUGUAUUAUGCUUUUUUUAUUUUGUACUUUAUGAGUAUGAUUUUUUUAUUGUCACCAAUUUAUACUUUUGGUUCGUAUUAUAACUUAGGACUUUGAAGGAAAUCGCUAACUACUGACCAUAUGUUUUCUUCUGUAAUAUCAAUUAGGCAUAACACAUAAAUAUGACUCUUAACUUGAUUUCAAAUUUUAACUUUGACCUUAAAUUUUCAAAGUGCAUAAAGAGACACUUUAACUAUCCAACUCUUAAAUAAAAAAGCACUCAAAUAUUGCAGCCCAAACACGUGAAAUGCAGACGCUCCAUUAAAUGGCUGGCAACUAAUUAAAAAAUUUACACGUAGAUAUUAGAAUUAAAAAAAACUAAAUUAAUAUUCAAAUUAAUACAAGGGUGAAAGCCUGUUCCAUUUUACCCUGUUUCUCUCUCAAAAUCGCAAACCCCUAGCUGAGGAUUUACAACCAAAAUUGUGAAUCAAGGGAAAAAUCGUUCAAGAUUUGUGCUAAAAGUUCAUAUAGUCUAAUGUUUAUCUGUUCAUCUUCCUCAAUUUAGUCCAGGUAUGUUUAAUUUUGCCCUUUUGAAAGUUAGUUUUUGAUAGAAGGUAGAAUCUUGGCAAAAGUAUUCAUUACCUCCCUGAACUUGAAGCUUUUUAUACGAUGUACACCUAAACUAAAUUCCAUUUUAAUUACCCCCGAACUUGUUUAUUCCUCCGUCGCGUACACUUUUUUCGUCCACCUGCUCCUAUUGUGACUACACGCGCGCGACAACUGGCAAAAGUGGUGAUGUGGAUUUCCACCUGGAUAAAUAAUAGCCACCUAGAUAAAUUAAUAUUGCAAAAAAUAAAUUUCUUAAAUUUAAAUUCAUUGUUUAAAAGUUAUUUUUGAAUAAGGGCUGAUUUCGCGGAACUCCUUCUGGAUUUAGAUUUUUCUAGACGUGAAGUUGGUCGAUUAAAUUUCAAAUUUGUCUGAAAUUCUUACCAAGUAAGUGUUAAUCUUUGUUUCCUUUACUUUUCAUUUACAUUUUGCCCUAUUUUCGUUUAAAAUAUGACAAAUAUUAAAAUUCAUCGUUUAAAAGUUUUUUGAAUAAGGGCUGAUUUCACGGAACUCCUUGAAUUUCAAAUUUGUCAAAAAUUCUUACCAAAUAAGUGUUAAUCUUUGUUUCCUUUACUUUUUCAUUUUACAUUUUUGCCCUAUUUUUUCGUUUAAAAUAUGCCAAAUAUUAAAGAAAAAUGGAGAUUUUACGUUUUUUUUACCGUUGUAGCUUUGUGAUGUGGCAAAAAAUCACUUCCUCACGCGCCUAGUAGAGUGUGUUGUCAAUUUCUACGCCAGGUGGACAAAAAAGGUGUACGCGACGGAGGAAUAAACAAGUUCGGGGUAAUUAAAACGGAAUUUAGUUUAGGUGUACACCAUAUAAAAAACUUCAAGUUCAGGGGAGUAAUGAGUACUUUUGCCUAGAAUCUUUGCUUAAAUUUGGAUUGUUUGCAAACCAAUGACCUGUAUUGUUUGCGGACUAAGAAAUCUUCAAUUAUAGUUCUUUUCCCACAAUGACAAAAAAAUUAGAAGCCAUUUGCACUAAAAACGAGUAGAAACAAAGGAAAGCUUCAAAGUGGAAGGGAUAUAGCAGUGAAGAUGUUGAGCAAGCCUAAAGCUGAUGGGCAAGAUUUCAUGAAUGAAGUAGCUACCAUCGGAAGGAUUGAUCAUGUCAAUGUGGUUGGACUCGUGGGGUAUUGCGUUGAGGGAACAAAGUGUGCUCUUGUUUACGACUUCAUGCCCAAUGGAUCACUUGAUAAGUACAUCAGCACCAGUCAAGAAGGAAGUCCUCUGUUAAGUUGGCAGAGGAAGUAUGACAUUAUUCUUGGAGUGGCUCGAGGAAUUGGGUAUUUGCAUCGAGGUUGUGAUGUACGAAUAUUGCAUUUUGACAUCAAGCCACACAACAUUCUUUUGGAUGAGAAUUUCAUUCCAAAGAUUUCUGACUUUGGGCUUGCAAAAUUAUAUCCAACAUAUAAGAGCAUUGUGACUCUCACAGCUGCUCGUGGAACGAUUGGAUAUGUUGCUCCAGAGUUGAUCAGCAGAAGCAUUGGAGCAAUCUCAUACAAAGCCGAUGUUUACAGCUUCGGAAUGCUGCUAACGGAAAUGUUGGACUUGAAGAGAAAUGAAGUUGCAAAUGAAGAGAAUUCCAGCCAAUACUUUCCUUAUUAUAUUUGCGAUAAGUUCAACAAGGGGAAAGAGAUUGUGAUGGAUGAAGAAGCGAAUGAUGAUGAAAAGAAGAUGGCUAGAAAGCUGAGUUUAGUUGCAUUAUGGUGUAUACAAACAAAUCCGAUACAACGCCCUUCAAUGAGUAAAGUAGUAGAAAUGCUUGAAGGCGAAGUUGAAGUGCUACAAGUACCUCCUCAGCCUCUUCAAUCUCAACCGAUUGUCCAUCAGAUCAUGGGAAGUUCUAUGACAUUUUCUUCUGAUUCAAUAGCUUUGUUAGAUAAUUAUUCCGUUGAGGUAGACAUUCAUGCUGAUUGAUUAUAGUUGAUGUAAUGUUUAGGUGAAACAAACAUAGCCGACCCAACAAUGUUUGGGACAAAGAAUGGUGUUGUUAUUGUGUACUAGUUAUAUUAAAGGCAUAAUACAUAUAUAUGCCAUUUAACUUGGCCUCAACUCACAUUUAUGCAUAGAAACUUAACUUGUAUAAAGUUGAACAAAUAGACACACGCAUCCUAUGUGGCAUCCUACAAGGAAAUUUGAAUCCUACAUGGUGUUCUAUGUUUUUCUCAUUAUUUCAACCUCAAUAUAUUUUGAAGACAAACAAAAACACCUCACAUACUAUAUUAUUUUGUUAAUUGAAUCAUAAGAUUCACUUAUUAGUAUUCCUAUAAAGUUGAAUUAGCUCUUGAGCAGCUCUUCAUCUCUUAUAUAUUUUAAAUUCUUACUAAUAUCUCUCACUUUAACCCUCAAUUUUUCCCCUGUUUUCCUGUUAUGACACCUUUUAAGAGUUUCCGCGAUUUCUCCUCUGUGAAUUUUCCCAUCAUCAUCUCUAACAAUUUCCACUGCGACUCCCAAUUCUACGAUCAACCUAGCAUUCAUUGGUUGAUCAAGAUGCAUAGGCAUGGCAACUAUAGGAACCCCAAAAUCUAUAGUUUCCAUUGCUGAAUUCCAACCACAAUGACUUAUAAAUCCUCCAGUACUCGGAUAAUUUAGAUUUCUUGGUUGUGGUGCAAAUUUGUCCAAAACUCUUCCCCUUUCUCCAAUUCUUUCAAGAAAACCUUUUGGUAAUGCAUCUUCAAUAUUUUGCUCUUCCCCUUUUGGAAAUCUUGCAACCCAUAUGAAAUUAACAUUACUUAACUCCAACCUGGAAGCUACUUCUUCCAUAUCUUCUUUUGACAAGAAAUACUCACUCCCAAAGGAGACAAAUACAGUUGAAUUCUCAUCUUUUGUUCCUAGCCAAUCUAUAAGCUCCAAUGUUGAUAAAAUAUCUUUAUUAUCUUAAAAAGUAUAAGAAUAAUAUUUGAAAUUAUUUAUUACAUAUUAUUACCUUAAUUACUUUAGCUUACUAAUAUUAUAUAUUAAGGAUUUUAAUUGUGUAGCAACGUUUUGAUUUUCUUAAUAUGGCAGUGGUUAAUUGCCUUUAUGGCAUUAAUCAAUUACUAUUUGAUUUGGGAGUUACAAAAAUCCUAUAGAAUAUUUGGUGGUAUUUGAUAGACUUUAUGACAAUAAUUUUGUUUUAAUGUGCAUUAGUAUGCACGGCUAUAUUUGGUAGUAUGUUAUAAGCCUUUAUGGCAUAUUGACAGUUACUUUUUAUUAGUUGUGCACAUGGCUGAUGGUAUGGUAUUUACCAUAUACUUCUAUAUCUAUAUAUAGUACGUUUAUGUGCAAAAAGGAAGAGUAAGAAAGAUUAUAUUAAAAAACUUUUCUUCCUAAUUUAUUUGCUGGGUUUUCUUAAGUAAAAUAUAUUUUUUGUUAGAUUCUGGCUCCUAGUUUUUUAGUACUAGAAGAGUUUGUUGAAUUAUGGGGAUACACCUUAACCGGUGAAAUAUCCUUAAGGACAGUGUCAUAGGCACGCCUCAAGCUACGAGAUUUCCGUAAUUUCCAAUAGUUUUCCAACAAAUUGCUCAAAUCAGUGCAAUAAUCGAUAUAUUUGGCUUCUAUAGUUCUAGAAGUACUCAUCAACAUGAUUUGCAUAUUUCCAUCAGCAAGAAGAUCCCCAUCAUCAGGUUCUUUCUCUUUAUUAUAUUUCGACAACCUUUCACUCAAUCUUACUUGCUCAAUUUUCCUGAGAUAAUUAGCAGGGAAAGGGAAUUCAACCUCUGGUUUCUUCAGUAAGUUGAAAAAAUACGAAAACAUAGCUGCACCGGAAGUUAGGAGCUUAACUGCUGGAAUGUUGGGUUCAUUCGCGACACGUUCAGCUCAUUGCUGCAAUAUGUCAUAAAUUAUCAAAUCAGGUUUCAGAUUUUCGAUAAGUUUGGUUUGGACAUUUUCAGGGCUUUUUGAAGGAUGUGGUUGAGAUUGGGUGGGAGACCAUUAGUCGUAUGGUAAUGAGGAGGAAGUUCGGGUAAUUCUGGUAAGUGAAGUUCGAUAAGCUGAAUCGAAUCAGCAUACUUUUUGGGGAUUUUGUUGAUGGUGGAUUUGAGAUUUAU